UCUCCCUUUUCUCUUUCUCCCUUGUCCGGAUACCCCUCACUCCCUCACCACUCAUUUUUCUCUUCUUUCUUUUUCUUCUCCCAUCCGACGCCUUUUCUCUCUUUCUCUUCUCUUCUCUUCUUCCACCCGACACCAUCAUCUCCCUCUCCUCUUCUCUUUGUUCACACGUUCCCAGCCCAUCUCCCCUCUUUCAUCAUCUUUCUCUCUUCAUCUAGCACCCAUACACAACGCAGAUGACAACUCGGGAGAGAGAUGAUCGAGAUUGAGAGAGAGAUGAGUCGAGAGAGACACCCGUGAAUGAGAGAGCUCGUGAUAGUGAGAGCCACCGCAUGGAAGAGCGCUUAAGAACUGUGAUUUUCGUGGGGUUAAGCUGCUGGAAAUAGAAUCAAAAAAAUUGAUGGAGAUAAGUCGAUAUUUGAGGCAGCAUGCUUGCACAAUAGCUGGAAAGUCUCAGCUUUUUAUAAACUCUUAUGCUAAAGCUCUUGAGGAUUUAGAGCAGCUGUUGAAUUUCAUUGGUGCAGUACAAGAUUGAUAUACAACAGGACGUCAAGCAAAAUAAUAUGGUGUUUUGGUCUUUUUGUAGGUUUUUUUGUAAUUAAGGAAUUGAAGCAAAGGUACUAUAUAUAUGUACAUUGCUUUUAGGUGUUUGUUUAUUUUGAAACAAUGGUUUUUUCAAUAGCGUAAAUAAAAUUGUGCAU